ACCCUCCCAGCGCAUGAGACAGUCUGCACGGGGCCACACGAACGUGGCCCCCACCAAACGGUGCUGCGACACGGUGGGAGAGGGUUUGCCGCACUAGGCUGCAGUUUGGCAAUGUGCAGUGCACAAAAAAAGGAAGAGCAAAGCAGGCAGGCAGCCACUUCAGACAUUAAGACUUCUAGGACACUUGCACGGACACUCCAGAGUAAGCUACAGUCACUUCAGGCUGGCUGUAAGUGUCAAGCAGGCUGUAGUAGCUACCCAGGUAUCUUUCUCCAGGCAAAACCAGUGCAAUGUGCACUGUGCAGGUCUGCUCCCAUGCUUUGAGUCUCUUCAUCCUCACAGACACCACAACAACUCAGAAGACUCAAAGAGUUACUAACAUCUGACACUAAAGGAGUGACUCUGCUCUUGCGCGUGUUCCACCGAGCAAUCUCUGUAAGGGACAUUUCCUGGAUUGCUGACUUGCAUCCUGGUUGAAUCGCACAGAGGCGCGUCAGUGCACCGCACGUGCGAACACAAUCUCUAGGAAAUGGGGUGAAAAUGCAGUGUCUUCUAAAGAAUUGUGAAAUCUGAGGCCCAGAGGUGAAGCUACAUGAUCUGAGUAAAAGAGGAGUCAGAACUGGGAUUUUAAGCUGCUUAAACUAUUAUCUCAUACUUUUGUAAAGACUUGAUGACUUUGCCUUGCUGGAUUUUCAUUAAAAUGUGCAUUUAAAUAACAACUUGAAUAUGCCAUAAAAAAUGUUAAAUAUUGUUCACAUCCUCUUUCAAUUAAUAUUUACAUUUUGCUAACAGUAGCAUAGAAUAAUGACAUUCAAAUUAAGUUAUCGCUAUGCAGUUUGUUUGUUUAUGGCACACCAUAACCAUGGAAACAACCAUACUCAAUAUCUAUGGUAACAGUCACAGUGGUGUAAACUGUGACACUAAAAAGAGGAAGUUAGUAAGCUGAAGUUACUAAUUCUAAGAAAAUCUUGUCAAAAUUAAAUAUUUCCUGUAACGAAAAUCUGUUUUAUGUCUCUGAGCAAUUUUCAUAAAUCCUUGUUUCAAUAUCAGAUCUGCUGAAGGAUCCGAGAUACUCAAACAUGGAGCUCUGCUGAUGUCAAGAAC